GUGAGUCAUCGAAUCUUUGAACGCAAAUUGCACUCCUUGGUAUUCCGAGGAGUAUGCCUGUUUGAGGGUCGCCAAAUCAACAUCGAAAUUCAUUUGCUUUUUUGCAAAUGUUUAUCGGAUUUGAGCCCUCUUUUAUUUUUUUUAAUUAAAAGUGGCUUAAAAUUUAUUUUUUGGUAUCGAAAAACGUUAUUUUACGAUCAAAUUGAUUAAAAAAACAAACGUUCGAAUGCCAUCUUUUAAUGUAAUACGUUUGACUGUGUUUACAUAGGUUCAUUCGUAUACGAUUUUUUAAUUUUUGAC
rnacentral:misc_RNA from 1 species